CCUACGGGAGGCAGCAGUGGGGAAUAUUGGACAAUGGGGGAAACCCUGAUCCAGCGACGCCGCGUGAGUGAAGAAGUAUUUCGGUACGUAAAGCUCUAUCAGCAGGAAAGAAAAUGACGGUACCUGACUAAGACGCCCCGGCUAACUACGUGCCAGCAGCCGCAGUAAUACGUAGGGGGCAAGCGUUAUCCGGAUUUACUGGGUGUAAAGGGAGCGUAGACGGCAGCGCAAGUCUGGAGUGAAAUGCCGGGGCCCAACCCCGGAACUGCUCUGGAAACUGUGUAACUGGAGUACAGGAGGGGCAGGCGGAAUUCCUGGUGUAGCGGUGAAAUGCGUAGAUAUCAGGAGGAACACCGGCGGCGAAGGCGGCCUGCUGGACUGAAACUGACGUUGAGGCUCGAAAGCGUGGGGAGCAAACAGGAUUAGAUACCCUUGUAGUC
rnacentral:rRNA from 1 species